ACGUCAAGUCAUCAUGGCCCUUAUGUCCAGGGCUACACACGUGCUACAAUGGGGUAUACAAAGAGCAGCGAUACGGUGACGUGGAGCAAAUCUCAAAAAUAUCUCCCAGUUCGGAUAGUAGUCUGCAACUCGACUACUUGAAGUUGGAAUCGCUAGUAAUCGUAGAUCAGCAAUGCUACGGUGAAUACGUUCCCGGGUCUUGUACUCACCGCCCGUCACACCAUGGGAGUUGAACUCAUUCGAAGCGGGGAUGCUAAAGUAGCUACCCUCCACAGUGGAUUUAGCGACUGGGGUGAAGUCGUAACAAGGUAACCUUAAA
rnacentral:rRNA from 1 species